CUAGCAUAUCAAUAAKCGGAGGAAAAGAAASCAACAGGGAUUGCCUUAGUAACGGCGAGUGAAGCGGCAACAGCUCAAAUUUGAAAUCUGGCCCUCUUGGGGGUCCGAGUUGUAAUUUGCAGAGGGUGCUUUGGCGUUGGCUGUGGUCUAAGUUCCUUGGAACAGGACGUCGCAGAGGGUGAGAAUCCCGUAUGUGGCCGCCAGCCUUCGCCGUGUAAAGCCCCUUCGACGAGUCGAGUUGUUUGGGAAUGCAGCUCUAAAUGGGAGGUAAAUUUCUUCUAAAGCUAAAUAUCUGCCAGAGACCGAUAGCGCACAAGUAGAGUGAUCGAAAGAUGAAAAGCACUUUGGAAAGAGAGUCAAAAAGCACGUGAAAUUGUUGAAAGGGAAGCGCUUGCGGUUAGACAUGCCUUUAGUUGCUCAGCCGGGCUCUUUGGCCCGGUGCACUCUUCUAUAGGCAGGCCAGCAUCAGUCUGGGCGGUCGGAUAAAUGCCUAUUAAACGUGACUCCCCUCGGGGAGAGCUUAUAGGGUAGGCGCCAUGCGACCAGCCUGGACUGAGGUCCGCGCAUCUGCUAGGAUGCUGGCGUAAUAGCUGCAAGCGGCCCGUCUUGAAACACGGACCAAGGAGUCUAACAUCUAUGCGAGUGUUUGGGUGUCAAGCCCGGGCGCGUAAUGAAAGUGAACGGAGGUGGGAUCCCUUCGGGGUGCACCAUCGACCGAUCCUGAUGUCUUCGGAUGGAUUUGAGUAAGAGCAUAGCUGUUGGGACCCGAAAGAUGGUGAACUAUGCCUGAAUAGGGUGAAGCCAGAGGAAACUCUGGUGGAGGCUCGCAGCGGUUCUGACGUGCAAAUCGAUCGUCAAAUUUGGGCAUAGGGGCGAAAGACUAAUCGAACUAUCUAGCUMGACUUGGUUCUUGCUCAGUAUGCCGGGGGGGAAAAAAAAGA
rnacentral:rRNA from 1 species